rnacentral:tRNA from 1 species
GGUAGUGUGGCCGAGUGGUCUAAGGCGAUGGUUUAAGGCACCAUUCUCUCCGGAGGCAAGAGUUCGAAUCUCUUCACUAUCA